rnacentral:lncRNA from 1 species
GGCGGAGCUGCGGCUGAGGAGCAGCAGUUACAGACAGGAAGUCAGUGACCUACAGGAGGCGCUGCAGUGGAAGGAGAAGAAGAUCCUGGCCUUGGAGCGCCAGAGAGAAAUGUCCGACAGAGUUCAGGUGGAACGAGACCGACUGAUGGACGAGGUCAUCAAUCUCCGAGAGAUGCUACAAAAACACGGCGUAGUUACCUCAUCUGAAUUCUCCACCAAUGGGGAGGAGGGAUGGGGCAACAAUGACUCCCGAUUGGUUGUAGAGUCUGGUCAGGGCAGCAGAGAGAGCGUGCUGGGUAAGAACCAAUCAAACCUAUUGAUCAUUAUCAUUUACAUCACUGACGAUUGAUUGCUCAGACUUUUCUCUUUAACUGAUGAUUCACUGAUGAUUGUUGAUUGAUAUUUAUUAGUUCAUUAGUAAUUCCUGAUUUAUUUAUUGUUGAUUGAUUAUUGGCAAUUUACAUUCAUUUUUAAUUGAUUAGUGAUCAGUGAUUGAUUGAGUGAUCAUUGAUUAACAUUUCUCUGUCUGAAUAUGUCACCUCCUGAGGGUCUUCAGGGGACAGAGACUCUCAGACACGAAGAGUCUCUGUCCCUCUCUCUGUCUCUGGUCUCUCUCUCUGCCCCCCCCAGCUGGUCCUCCAAUGUCUUAUUCGUGGUCUUUCAGGGACAGUUGGCCAUCACUCAGCAGUGGAGGGGGUCAUACUCCGGCAGGGCCAGCUAAAGUCCAGAAUCAAGA